UGGGGAAUCUUGCACAAUGGGGGCAACCCUGAUGCAGCGACGCCGCGUGAGCGAUGAAGCCCUUCGGGGCGUAAAGCUCUUUCGACCGGAACGAUAAUGACGGUACCGGGAGAAGAAGCUGCGGCUAACUACGUGCCAGCAGCCGCGGUAAUACGUAGGCAGCAAGCGUUGUUCGGAGUUACUGGGCGUAAAGAGUGCGUAGGCGGUUUUCUAAGUUCGGUGUGAAAUCUCCCGGCUUAACUGGGAGGGUGCGCCGAAGACUGGGAAGCUGGAGUGUGGGAAAGGCAGGCGGAAUUCCUGGUUGAGCGGUGAAAUGCGUAGAUAUCAGGAGGAACACCGGCGGUGUAGACGGCUUGCUAGACCAUAACUGACGCUGAGGCACGAAAGCGUGGGUAGCAAACA
rnacentral:rRNA from 1 species